GAUUCCCUCUGCUCCACAGGAGAUGCAGCGAGCACCAAAGAGCCUUCCUCCAGGAUUAAGCCUGAUGCAGAAGUGGUUACACUGACUACGGCAAGCUGAGCCCUGCCGGCUGUUGUGCGCUCCGUGGAAAGGGAGAAGCACGGUCUCCAGCGGCUGCGUCAGGAGUGGUGCCUUGUGCACACCUCACAGGGAGAGAAGUCUCCAACGGACUGAGCGGAGGAAAAAAGAAAAAAGGAGAAAAGGAAAAAGAGCUGCAUACCUGGCAGGCCUACUGUGUGCAAAGCCCUUGAGUGACACACCCUAUGACCCACAGCACUGUGGCAAUCCCAGGGCCGCACCAGCUCUCUCUCCUUCCCCUCCUCAGGGCCACACCAACUGUGGGGUUCCAGCUAUCACUCUGUGCAAAGGACUCCUAACAUGGGUGUCCUCCGUCUCACCCCAUAAGCCACACUGGCCAAGGCCAGGCAGGCACCACACAUCGCGAGACACAUGCUUGGUCACUGGGCUGUGGAACAUACAGGAGCCCCGUGCUCCGGAACACGGACCACCCGACAGGAGCACGGACACAGCAGUCGGGGCGACGUGGGUGCCUCACAGAAGAGGGAAAAAGCCAGGAGGGCGGCACGUGGGCGCAAAGUUCUCAGCUUCGUUAGUCAUCAAGAAAAUGCAAACUAAAACCAAGGUAAGUGUGAGGGUUACUACUGAGUUUCAACUUGACUGGACUAAAGGAUGUGUAACUGUUCCUGGGAGCAUCUUGAGGAAGCUGCCAAAGGAGAUUCACAUUGAGUCAGUGGACGGGGAGAGGCCGACGAACCCUCCAUCUGGGGGGGCAUGAUCUCAUCAGCUGCCAGCACGGCAGAUCUGCGGAAGCACUGGACUGGCUGAGUCUUCCAGCCUCCAUCUUUCUUCCAUGCUGGAUACUUCCUGCCCUCGAACAUCAGACUCCAAGUGCUUCAGCUUUUGGGUUCUUGGACCUACACCAGUGGUUUGCCAGGGGUUCUUGGGCCUUCGGCCACAGACUGAAAGCUGCGCUGUUGGCUUCCCGACUUUUGAGGUUUGGGGACUCGGACUGGCUUCCUGGCUCCUCAGCUUGCCAACAGCCUAUUGUGGGACUUCACCUCAUGACUGUGUGAGUCAAUACUCCCAAUAAACUCCCCUCCAUAUAUACAUUUAUCCUAUUAGUGCUGUCCCUCUAGAGAACCCUGACUCGUACACACAAGUACUGGUGAAGGGGUGGAGCAAAGGAAACUAGUCCACUCUCAUCAGGGCCAACUCACGCACCUGGCAAUCUCUACUCAUACUGAACACAAGUAUGCCCUAUAGCCCAGCAAUGCCAUUCUGGACAUACACGUCCAAAAGA
rnacentral:lncRNA from 1 species